rnacentral:rRNA from 1 species
UACGUAGGGCGCAAGCGUUGUCCGGAAUUAUUGGGCGUAAAGAGCUCGUAGGCGGUUUGUCGCGUCUGUUGUGAAAACUCGAGGCUCAACCUCGGGCUUGCAGUGGAUACGGGCAGACUAGAGUGCGGCAGGGGAGACUGGAAUUCCUGGUGUAGCGGUGAAAUGCGCAGAUAUCAGGAGGAACACCGGUGGCGAAGGCGGGUCUCUGGGCCGAUACUGACGCUGAGGAGCGAAAGCGUGGGGAGCGAACAGG